rnacentral:rRNA from 1 species
GAUGAACGCUGGCGGCGUGCUUAACACAUGCAAGUCGAACGAUGAAGCCCAGCUUGCUGGGUGGAUUAGUGGCGAACGGGUGAGUAACACGUGAGUAACCUGCCCUUAACUCUGGGAUAAGCCUGGGAAACUGGGUCUAAUACCGGAUAGGAGCGUCCACCGCAUGGUGGGUGUUGGAAAGAUUUAUCGGUUUUGGAUGGACUCGCGGCCUAUCAGCUUGUUGGUGAGGUAAUGGCUCAACAAGGCGACGACGGGUAGCCGGCCUGAGAGGGUGACCGGCCACACUGGGACUGAGACACGGCCCAGACUCCUACGGGAGGCAGCAGUGGGGAAUAUUGCACAAUGGGCGCAAGCCUGAUGCAGCGACGCCGCGUGAGGGAUGACGGCCUUCGGGUUGUAAACCUCUUUCAGUAGGGAAGAAGCGAAAGUGACGGUACCUGCAGAAGAAGCACCGGCUAACUACGUG